rnacentral:misc_RNA from 1 species
GGGUAAGUAAUUUUCUGUCAAUAAUGAAGCAGAGUUUGAUUUGGGAAAGUAAUUUCCUAUCCCUAGUUUAUGUGCUUUGACUAUUAUGAAGCAGAGAUGGAAAUGAAUGCUUGGGUCCCAAUCCACACUAUUCUCUCUUCUCAUAUUUGAAGCUUCAACAAUGGCCAUGAGUUGAUAGAGAAAGGAAAAGCAGCAAUCAUCCAUGUUGAAGCAAAUCG